rnacentral:rRNA from 1 species
GAUGAACGCUGGCGGCGUGCCUAAUACAUGCAAGUCGAGCGAACAGACGAGGAGCUUGCUCCUCUGAAGUUAGCGGCGGACGGGUGAGUAACACGUGGAUAACCUACCUAUAAGACUGGGAUAACUUCGGGAAACCGGAGCUAAUACCGGAUAACAUGUUGAACCGCAUGGUUCAACGGUGAAAGAUGGUCUUGCUGUCACUUAUAGAUGGAUCCGCGCCGCAUUAGCUAGUUGGUAAGGUAACGGCUUACCAGGGCAACGAUGCGUAGCCGACCUGAGAGGGUGAUCGGCCACACUGGAACUGAGACACGGUCCAGACUCCUACGGGAGGCAGCAGUAGGGAAUCUUCCGCAAUGGGCAAAAGCCUGACGGAGCAACGCCGCGUGAGUGAAGAAGGUCUUCGGAUCGUAAAACUCUGUUAUUAGGGAAGAACAAAUGUGUAAGUAACUAUGCACGUCUUGACGGUACCUAAUCAGAAAGCCACGGCUAACUACGUGCCAGCAGCCGCGGUAAUACGUAGGUGGCAAGCGUUAUCCGGAAUUAUUGGGCGUAAAGCGCGCGUAGGCGGUUUUUUAAGUCUGAUGUGAAAGCCCACGGCUCAACCGUGGAGGGUCAUUGGAAACUGGAAAACUUGAGUGCAGAAGAGGAAAGUGGAAUUCCAUGUGUAGCGGUGAAAUGCGCAGAGAUAUGGAGGAACACCAGUGGCGAAGGCGACUUUCUGGUCUGUAACUGACGCUGAUGUGCGAAAGCGUGGGGAUCGAACAGGAUUAGAUACCCUGGUAGUCCACGCCGUAAACGAUGAGUGCUAAGUGUUAGGGGGUUUCCGCCCCUUAGUGCUGCAGCUAACGCAUUAAGCACUCCGCCUGGGAGUACGACCGCAAGGUUGAAACUCAAAGGAAUUGACGGGGACCCGCACAAGCGGUGGAGCAUGUGGUUUAAUUCGAAGCAACGCGAAGAACCUUACCAAAUCUUGACAUCCUCUGACCCCUCUAGAGAUAGAGUUUUCCCCUUCGGGGGACAGAGUGACAGGUGGUGCAUGGUUGUCGUCAGCUCGUGUCGUGAGAUGUUGGGUUAAGUCCCGCAACGAGCGCAACCCUUAAGCUUAGUUGCCAUCAUUAAGUUGGGCACUCUAAGUUGACUGCCGAUGACAAACCGGAGGAAGGUGGGGAUGACGUCAAAUCACCAUGCCCCUUAUGAUUUGGGCUACACACGUGCUACAAUGGACAAUACAAAGGGUAGCGAAACCGCGAGGUCAAGCAAAUCCCAUAAAGUUGUCCUCAGUUCGGAUUGUAGUCUGCAACUCGACUACAUAAAGCUGGAAUCGCUAGUAAUCGUAGAUCAGCAUGCUACGGUGAAUACGUUCCCGGGUCUCGUACACACCGCCCGUCACACCAUGAGAGUUUGUAACACCCGAAGCCGGUGGAGUAACCUUUUGGAGCUAGCCGUCGAAGGUGGGACAAAUGAUUGGGGUGAAGUCGUAACAAGGUAGCCGUAUCGGAAGG